CUCAGCUGCCAUCAGGCAAGGGUAAGCAGCAGCAGGACGAUUACCGGAAGAAUAGAAGAGCUGCAGUGAUCAAAUCACAAGCUCGCUGUCAGUGAUUUACAUUCCCCCCCACAGGUUGAGUCCUUAUCAGGAGGGGCAGGAAAGAAUUUUCUUUGCCCUACGCUCUGGAGAAACUUGUUGGCUGUUGCUACUUUCCUAAAAUCCCACUCCCCCACCCAACCUGUCAGUGCUAGGAGAACUACUACUGGCAUCCAUUCUCAGUUCCUUCUUCCCUUGGAUGAAAACAGUGCUCGGAUCUUCAAGUUGAUCUUCCUUAUUACACGUAAACUCUCUUGAGUGCCUAUAAAGAAAAGCUUGUCAGAGGAGGCAAAGGAGCCACACUAGUCACUACUGGGCACCCACAGCCUUGGACUGGAGGAGUAAUAGGACUCAUUCUCCAACUGAAUAAUGAACAAACUGACAGAAGGGACAACAUUUCCUGAAGGCUUGAUGCCACAGAAUCCUUGCAUUGACAGCCCUAAUUUUCCAGCAAAUUUAACUGAAAUCUCAGAUCCGAUCCGUU